rnacentral:misc_RNA from 1 species
AAAAAAAAAAAAAAAAAAAAAUUUCUCAUACGAUAGAGGAAGAGAAGUACUGAAAUAGAAAAGAAAAUUGAUUUUUCCCCACUAUGUUUCAGAGGUUUUUGUUAGCUAAUAAAGGAAAGGAUGAUAAUUAAUAAAGGAAAGGAAAAGAAAUGUGAGGCUAAGCAACUCGUGUUUGGAAGUUGUAAGGGAUAGUAAAGGAUUUUAAGCAUUGAGGUAGAAUAGUGAUAUUUGAAAAAUAUUUUUAAUGUUAGAGGGAGGGAUAACUUUUAUUUACUCAUUUUUAAAGGGAAAACAAAGUGGAAUUUGAAGGAAUAACUAGUAAGUCCAUAUCCUUUUUGAAAGGAAAACCGCGUAGAGUUUGAAGGGAUAACUGAUCACUCAUUAUCAUUUCUUUUCCAACCUCAUUAAAUUCCCAAACAAAGGAUGAGUAUCCCCCGAUAUUUUCCUUUUCUAUCCCUUCCUGAGACAUCCUAACAAAGUGAAUGAGUUUUUUUUUUUUUUGGUAGUUGGUGCAGGGUGUUGAAAUUUAGGUUACAGUUGAUAAUUGCACCUGUUUGAGUAUGGUUUUAUUUGGGAUUGAGUGGUUAACUUGAAGUGUAUGAGAUGGGAGACUGAUUAUUGCAUUUUCUUAGUGAAACAACUGUGAGUAAUCACUAAUCAGGCUUUUUUUUUGUGUUUUUUCAUAUAAUCACUAACAUGAAUUGUUCAAGGUUUCAUUCUACUUUUUUGCUCUCAUUCUUAUCUGAGAGGAGUAGUAUAUAUUGGGGUCAUUCUUUAAUCGGAGUUCAUUACAUUGCUUUCUUUAUUGGAAGUGAUAUGUAUUUUAAUUAAUUAUUAACUUGGUCUUUCCUCUCAGAUUUCAACUCAGAAAUGCAUGAAGAACAUGGAAAACGUUGGUAACAAUAGCUGUUAUUUCCAAUGUACUCACUGAUCAAUUCAGGCUUAAAACCAUUAAUGAAUUCUGGUUCUGUAACCCACUGGAAAAUCUGGGUUGUCACCUAAACAAGAAAAAAUCCAAGUCACAUGGAUGAAUCACGAGGUCGACAGCUACCUUCUUAUCUUCCAGAAUCUGCCUUUCCAAAUAAUACUGGAAGACUUAAUUUAGAUGGGUAUGCAAAUGGUGGUUCUGGCUUGCCAGGCCUGAAGAAGAGAGGCCAUGGACAUGGAAGCAGAUCUUGGAUAAAGAUUGAUCAGAAUGGUGGCUCCAAGAUUUUGGAGCUUGAUAAGGCUACUAUAAUGAGACAUUGUUCCUUACCUGCACGGGAUCUACGACUAUUGGAUCCACUUUUCAUUUACCCUUCUACUAUUUUAGGACGGGAGAAAGCUAUUGUGGUCAGUCUUGAACAAAUUAGAUGUAUAAUCACAGCUGAUGAGGUUAUCCUAAUGAAUUCCUUAGAUGGAUGUGUUGUCCAAUAUGAGUCAGAAUUCUGCAAACGUCUCCAGACAAACAAAGAUCAAGCUGAGGACUUGCCAUUCGAAUUUAGAGCUCUAGAAUUGGCUUUGGAAUUAGCUUGCAUGUCUCUUGAUGCUCAGGUAAAAGAACUGGAGAUGGAGAUUUAUCCAGUGUUGGAUGAACUAGCAUCAUCUAUUAAUACUCUUAAUCUGGAAUGUGUCCGCAGACUAAAAGGCCACCUUCUCACAUUGACUCAACGAGUCCAGAAGGUGCAUGAUGAGAUAGAACAUCUCAUGGAUGAUGAUGGUGACAUGGCUGAGAUGUAUCUGACGGAGAAAAAAGAGAGGGCAGAAGCUUGUGCACUUGGCGACUUGUAUUUUCAAAAUAAUAUCUCGGGUGAGACCAGAGUGGUUUCAAAAUCUGCACCUGUUUCACCUGUGAGGUCAAUUAGUGGGGUCCAGCAAUUGCAGAGGACGUUUAGCAGUAUUGUCACUUCAAGCAAACAUGGAAGCUUAACUAGUUCUUCCACUAAUGAAGAAAAUGUUGACAAACUUGAAAUGUUGCUUGAAGCAUACUUUGUUGUUAUUGACAACACUCUCAGCAAGUUGUUCUCGGUGAGAUGUUUUGCUGCAUAAUAUGUGAAUGAAUCUAUCUAAAUUUGUUAUUGAUAACACUCUCAGCAAGGAUUGCUGCAAUCGGGUAUUAUUUUCAAGUUAUAUUAAUGCUUGCGACAUGUCUAAAAUUAUCAUACUCAAGCAAUCAGCUGAGUGGAAAAAUGUUGCAAGUUUUUCAAACUCACAAAUUUUUGUUAGGAUAUCCUCUUGGUCUAGGCAAAGUAAAGUGUACAAUGAUCCUAGGUUGCAUAGAAUUAUGCUAAUCAUAUAAUCUUCAUGUAAAGAGGUGGGGUGAGAGUGGGGUGCGUGUUCUGGAAUGGGUUUUAUCUUAUGUGUGAAAUAGAAGGACUCUUAAUGCAUGCACAUUGGUGAUACCUUACAUUAAUUUUUCAAUUGACAAUGCAGCUGAAAGAAUAUAUCGAUGAUACUGAAGAUUUGAUCAACAUUAAAUUGGUAAAGUGGUUAAUGGCUUGUACAUUUUAUGAUGCUUCCUUUUUGUCUUUUUUUUCCUCCUCCUUUUAAUCGGGCAAAACAAAUUUGCCUUUUAUUUUGUAUGAACAGGGAAAUGUGCAAAACCAUCUGAUUCAAUUUGAGUUGCUUCUAACUGCAGCAACCUUUGUAGCUACAUUAUUUGCUGUUGUGGCAGGAGUAUUUGGGAUGAACUUCACGGCCUCAAUUUUUGAUUACCCUUCUGCAUUUAAUUGGGUUCUUAUUAUAACUGGUAUUGCAUGUGGGUUGCUGUAUUUCUCGUUCCUGUUAUAUUUUAGGCACAAGAAGGUGUUUCCAUUGUAGACUGCAUUCUUGGUUUUGUGGGGUGUUUUGAAAAUUUGAACUGUACUUAAUUCUUUUAUUAUACUUUGAUCGAGUUAAACAGAUUGGAUUAGUCCACCAAUGUUUUGUAUAAAGUUAAUUUUUUGUUUAAAGAUGACACAACAAAGUCGACCAAUGAUAAUAAAUUUCAAUCUUGAUGUACA